rnacentral:rRNA from 1 species
CACGUAGGCACCAAGCGUUGUCCGGAUUUAUUGGGCGUAAAGAGCUCGUAGGCGGUUCGGUAAGUCGGGUGUGAAAACUUUGGGCUCAACCCAAAGCCUGCACUCGAUACUGCUGUGACUUGAGUCCGGUAGGGGAGUGGGGAAUUCCUGGUGUAGCGGUGGAAUGCGCAGAUAUCGGAAGGAACUCCGGCGGCGAAAGCGAUGCACUGGCUGAUUUCUGACACUGAGGUGCGAAAGCCAGGGGAGCAAACGGG